UUUUAAGCUCUAUUCUUCUGCAAAGUGUACAAUUCGACAUCUUUCUCUUCCUCUUAAUUUUUUGGAGUUAGGUCUUUUGUUUUGUUGGGUCUAAUAUUCAUCAUGACAAAAUCGAAACAGAUACCCGACGUUUUCCCUGUGCUUGCCGCUUCACAUAAGACACCCAUAUCCAAAUCAAGAGAGGCAAUAACAAGGACUCUCCAUUCUGAGCUUGUUUACAAUUACUUGGGCUCGAAACAUGUAAGAAGCGUUUUCCUUAGCUCAUCAUGGUUUUGAUAUAUAAAUUUUCUAUGGUGUUGCUGCUGGUGUACCAGAUAUCAGAAUCUUUGAAAAGAUGGUAUAUCUGACAAUUCAAGUUACAUCCUUGUGGCUCAUUUUGGCGCUUCUACUGAUGAGGUGAGGUCAUCGCUUUAAUAUUCUGGAUUAAGUUCAACUCUCUAAUUUUGAUAGCGAUCGUCAGAUAGCAAAAAUCAGAAAAAUGCAAAGCAAACACAGAUUUAUAUCGGUUCUAUUCUACAUCCCAAAAAUCAGAAAAAUGCAAAGCAGACACUUCACUCUCAAUAUGAGAGCUACGUCCCUUCGCUCCUGCUAGUUUUCACUAAAAAUGAGAAGUUCACAAUAUAGUUCUCUGUCCCCUCUUCUAUAUCUUUAUAUAAAAGAACAGCCUGUAAGUUCCUUCACGUACAGGAGGCAAUUAAGGCAAACAUAAUACGAUAUGAAUGCCAAUAUGUCCAUAUAAUUAAAAAAUAAAAACAAAAAUUGCCGUCAAGGUUACAGGUGAACAGUAUAAUUAGGAUCCCACACUGUCCAACAUCAUGAACUAUAUAGAGAUGGUGUAUUUUGUUACUCUCCAAAUAUUCUACUUACUAAAAGAGCUAGGAAUCUUUUAUUGUUUGACCAGGUAACAGCCAUAAAGUAACUUACCAAGGGAGCAGAAAUUGGCUUGUAGGAAUUGCAAGGACGAGCAAACAAAGCCCAGAUACAAAAGGUCGCUCAUCUCUCUCUCUCACGUGCCCUUUUGCUUCUUUUCUCUAAUCUACAUAUGUUUUCUGUGGCGACUUUCGUUUUUUUUUUUCUUUUAAACCAGCACGAUAAAAUACCAGCCUUGGAGUUGGGAAUAUCGUCACUUUCAGAUGCUAUAACAUGGAGGAUUGCAGCUCGAGAUGCCUUGUGAAGGGAAUCAGUCCCUCUUUGUUUUGUUAAUUUGCGCUUUGUAAAACGAGUUUUUCCCUGUUUGUCAUUUUGCUUUUAAUUAAAUCAAGGGAUAUAUACAAUGUUAUUUAUGUGAUUUUUCCAGUGUAAAUUUGUCGUGGUACAGAGGUGAACAUAAUUGGAGUUUGAAGUUGUGCACUUGUUGAGUUUCAUACUAUAAAAUGUUAUAAUCAGGCCUUAUAUGCAUGUUUGACUAA
rnacentral:lncRNA from 1 species